GCCCUCCAGGUCUUAGCUCAGUCGGUAGAGCAUGCGACUCUUAAUCUCAAGGUCGUGGAUUCAAGCCCCGAGUUGGGCA
rnacentral:tRNA from 1 species